GCCAGAGUCGUCUAGCGGUAGGGCGGUGGCCUGCAGAGUCACUUUUCCCCGGUUCAAAUCCGGGCUCUGGCUCCA
rnacentral:tRNA from 1 species